rnacentral:rRNA from 1 species
GACGAACGCUGGCGGCGUGCCUAAUACAUGCAAGUAGAACGCUGAAGGAGGAGCUUGCUCUUCUGGAUGAGUUGCGAACGGGUGAGUAACGCGUAGGUAACCUGCCUGGUAGCGGGGGAUAACUAUUGGAAACGAUAGCUAAUACCGCAUAAGAGUAGAUGUCGCAUGACAUUUGCUUAAAAGGUGCAAUUGCAUCACUACCAGAUGGACCUGCGUUGUAUUAGCUAGUUGGUGAGGUAACGGCUCACCAAGGCAACGAUACAUAGCCGACCUGAGAGGGUGAUCGGCCACACUGGGACUGAGACACGGCCCAGACUCCUACGGGAGGCAGCAGUAGGGAAUCUUCGGCAAUGGACGGAAGUCUGACCGAGCAACGCCGCGUGAGUGAAGAAGGUUUUCGGAUCGUAAAGCUCUGUUGUAAGAGAGGAACGAGUGUGAGAGGGAAAGUUCACACUGUGACGG